GACGAACGCUGGCGGCGUGCUUAACACAUGCAAGUCGUGCGGUAAGGCCCUUUCGGUGGUACACGAGUGGCGAACGGGCGGGUAACACGUGAGUAAGCUGCCCACAACUUUGUGAUAGCGCUAGUAAACUAGUUCUAAUAAUGGAUAUGUACUCCUUCUGCAUGGAGGGGGUUGGAAAGCUCGGGCGGUUGGGGAUGGACUGGCGGCCUAUCAGCUUGUUGGUGGGGUAGUGGGCUACCAAGGCGGCGACGGGUAGCCGGCCUGAGAGGGUGGGCGGCCACAUUGGGACUGAGAUACGGCCCAGACUCCUAAGGGAGGCCGCAGUGGGGAAUAUUGGCCCAUGGGCGCAAGCCUGAUGCAGCAACGCCGCGUGCGGGAUGACGGCCUUCGGGUUGUAAAACGCCUUCAGCAGGGACGAAGCUUUUUGUGACGGUACCUGCAGAAGAAGCACCGGCUAACUACGUG
rnacentral:rRNA from 1 species